rnacentral:rRNA from 1 species
AGGACGAACGCUGGCGGCGUGCUUAACACAUGCAAGUCACGGGGGCCCGCAAGGGUAACCGGCGAACGGGUGCGUAACACGUGAGCAACCUGCCUAGAUGUGGGGGAUAGCCGGCCCAACGGCCGGGUAAUACCGCAUACGGUCACGAGGAGGAGUCUCCUUGUGAAGAAACCUCCGGGGCAUUUAGAGGGGCUCGCGGCCUAUCAGCUAGUUGGCGGGGUAAUGGCCCACCAAGGCUUCGACGGGUAGCUGGUCUGAGAGGAUGGCCAGCCACAUUGGGACUGAGAGACGGCCCAGACUCCUACGGAAGGCAGCAGUGGGGAAUCUUGCGCAAUGGCCGAAAGGCUGACGCAGCGACGCCGCGUGUGGGAGGACGCCCUUCGGGGUGUAAACCACUGUUGCCCGGGACGAACAUCCACUUUCGAGUGGACUGACGGUACCGGGUGAGGAAGCACCGGCUAACUCCGCGCCAGCAGCCGC